AUGAACGCUGGCGGCGUGCCUAAUACAUGCAAGUCGAGCGAACAGACGAGGAGCUUGCUCCUCUGACGUUAGCGGCGGACGGGUGAGUAACACGUGGAUAACCUACCUAUAAGACUGGGAUAACUUCGGGAAACCGGAGCUAAUACCGGACAAUAUAUUGAACCGCAUGGUUCAAUAGUGAAAGACGGUUUUGCUGUCACUUAUAGAUGGAUCCGCGCCGCAUUAGCUAGUUGGUAAGGUAACGGCUUACCAAGGCAACGAUGCGUAGCCGACCUGAGAGGGUGACCGGCCACACUGGAACUGAGACACGGUCCAGACUCCUACGGGAGGCAGCAGUAGGGAAUCUUCCGCAAUGGGCGAAAGCCUGACGGAGCAACGCCGCGUGAGUGAUGAAGGUCUUCGGAUCGUAAAACUCUGUUAUUAGGGAAGAACAAAUGUGUAAGUAACUAUGCACGUCUUGACGGUACCUAAUCAGAAAGCCACGGCUAACUACGUG
rnacentral:rRNA from 1 species